GUCUGUAUGAAUCUAAAUUUACAGUCUAGCCUGCUCACUGAAUUUUAAAGGGCCGCGGUAAUUUGACCGUGCGAAGGUAGCAUAGUCAUUAGUCUUUUAACUGAAGGCUUGUAUGAUUGGUUGGAUGAAGAAUUCGCUGUCUUUUUGUUAUUUUGAAUUUGACUUUUAAGUGAAAAGGCUUAAAUUAACUAGUGGGACGAUAAGACCCUAUAAAACUUUUGUAUAAAUAAAUUAUAAGAGGAUUAAGUUUAAGUUUAUCAAAAUUAUAUUAUAUUUCGUUGGGGAGAUGCUUAUAUAAUUUAAAACUGUAUAAUAAAUUAAAUAAUUAUAGUUAGAUUUUGAUCUUUUAUUAAAGAUUAAUAGGUUAAGUUAAUUUAGGGAUAACAGCGUUAUUUUCUCUGAGAGUUCUUAUCGACGAGAGUAGUUGCGACCUCUAUGUUGAAUUAAAAUUUUAGGGAGGUGUAGUGGUUUCUCUGAUAGGUCUGUUUGACCUUUAAAAUUUU
rnacentral:rRNA from 1 species